rnacentral:rRNA from 1 species
UAAUGUCUGGGAAACUGCCUGAUGGAGGGGGGUAACUGCUGGAAACGGUAGCUAAUACCGCAUAACGUCGCAAGACCAAAGUGGGGGACCUUCGGGCCUCAUGCCAUCAGAUGUGCCCAGAUGGGAUUAGCUAGUAGGUGGGGUAACGGCUCACCUAGGCAACGAUCCCUAGCUGGUCUGAGAGGAUGACCAGCCACACUGGAACUGAGACACGGUCCAG